UAUUGGUCAAUGGGCGGGAGCCUGAACCAGCCAAGUCGCGUGAAGGAAGAAGGAUCUAUGGUUCGUAAACUUCUUUUGCAGGGGAAUAAAGUGCGGGACGUGUCCUGUUUUGUAUGUACCCUGAGAAUAAGGAUCGGCUAACUCCGUGCCAGCAGCCGCGGUAAUACGGAGGAUCCGAGCGUUAUCCGGAUUUAUUGGGUUUAAAGGGUGCGUAGGUGGUUUGAUAAGUCAGCGGUGAAAGUUUGCAGCUUAACUGUAAAAAUGCCGUUGAAACUGUCGGACUUGAGUGUAAAUGAGGUAGGCGGAAUGCGUGGUGUAGCGGUGAAAUGCAUAGAUAUCACGCAGAACUCCGAUUGCGAAGGCAGCUUACUAAGCUACAACUGACACUGAAGCACGAAAGCGUGGGGAUCAAACAGG
rnacentral:rRNA from 1 species